AGGAAAUUAAUUUGGACACUAAGUGUCAGUUCAAAUUUAUGUGUUUUAAUUGAAUCGCACUAGAUCCUACUAUCAAAACACAUCUAAUUACCCAAAUCAUCCACAAUUUUCUCAGUUUGUAUACAGAUUAAAAAAACAAAACAGCUUUCCUCGAAUGACUGCACAUUACUAAGUUCUUCGUCCUGAUGAGGAAUUAAACGUCACUGUCAUAUUCUUAUCUCAAUCAUUCCAUAAAUCCACCGGAAACAGUCAACCCGGCGCUCCGUUGAGGUCAAGACUCGAGAAGGAGAAACUAUCGGCAUGCUCCGAUGCGGUUAGCCUUCAGGUUCAGGACACGUCUGAAUCCAAAACUCCAGCCAAUAUGCGCAGAAGCGGAAGAACAAGAAGGCAUCGAUGUCUCAGUGGAACCGAAGGAGCCUGAACCCUCCUCUCGUCCAAUGAUGAAGAGGGGACGGUCAACGGAGGAACCGCAUCCUGAGGCAAUGGAUGCCACCACCAUCAGUGUAUCCGGUACGUGUUCUUACAAUAUACAACCAUACUAAUAGCCAGGACUACCUUCAGGUACGUGGGGAAAAGCUGCACUGUGGAUUCGGUUCCGUCUAGCACUGCUGCAGUAAGAGGAAGGAGGCAGCAGCUACUUACCAUCAUGCAGAUUAAUCUGCAUCACUGCAAAGUGGCUGGAGUUGAAUUUCACCUAUCUGUUCUAGGGAGCGAACGGUACAUCACCACCUCCAACGGAGAUAAGGGUAGGAGACGCUACGGCGGUUAGAUUGGAGACUUCUCGUAAUCUUCUCCUUGUACCUGCCAUACGAGUACCCCAACCCACCAGGCCAAGUAGUUCGCGGAGCUGGGAAGCAAGGGCAACUUUAUCGCUGGAUGUGAUGCCAACGCGCACCACUUUCAAUGGGUCAGUAAGAAUACCAAUGCCAGAGGUAAGUCGUUUUUUGAAUUUAUUCUCAGGCAUAAUCUCAAAAUAUGUAAGAGGAGAAAUAAGCCUCUAUUUCAAAACAAAGAUAGGGAGGAAGUCAUUGAUCUUACCCUAACUAAUGUGGAUGAAUCGCUCAUACUGAACUGGAAAGUAAAUAAAAACCCCAUAGGAAUCCAAGGAAGGCUCGGUGGGAUAAAUUUACAGAUUAUGCUACAUUGAGACUGAGAUACAAAGGUAAUGUACAGGCAGAAUUUCAUAACAAAAGUCUUAUUUAAAUGCAAAGAAAAGGCCUGUCCUGGCAAGAAAUGCCAACCGGUCUGGUCGUCUACGCACCUAACUGGUCUUAUUUAAGCAAGCAGAAGCUUAUAUAAUAGAGCCAACUUACUACGGACUGGGAGGCGUAUAAGACUUUCAAUAAUUACAACGUUGAGAUCCAGAAGGCUAAACGGAAAUCUUGGGUCUGAUAUACUGAGCCCAUAGUAGGUGUCGAUGAAGCAUCCAAGUUUGGCUAAGUCCAACGGUACGUUGGACUGCUCUAGAGAGUCUCAAUCUGUUGGCCACUACUUACUUUACGAAUUGCACUGAAGCGACAAGCGAUCAACAGUUAGAUCGACCUCAUCAGCACCGUGCGGCAGGGGACGUGAGCAGGGCUGCCAACUAAAUUUCUAGGAAAAUCAAUCUAGUAAAUUUUUCAGAAAAAAAUGGGAUUAACGGCAUUUGUAUUCUUGAAAAUCUGCAAAGUGUAAAUUAUUAAAUUAAAGCAUAUUUUUUGGUUUAUAACAAAAUACAA